UACAGAGGUCUCAACCGUUGUUCGGAUUCAUUGGGCGUAAAGGGUGCGUAGGCGGUCGGGUAAGUCGGAUGUGAAAUCUCAGGGCUCAACCCUGAAACUGCAUUCGAUACUGCCUGGCUAGGGUACUGGAGAGGAGACUGGAAUUUACGGUGUAGCAGUGAAAUGCGUAGAUAUCGUAAGGAAGACCAGUGGCGAAGGCGAGUCUCUGGGCCGAUACUGACGCUGAGGAGCGAAAGCGUGGGGAGCGAACAGG
rnacentral:rRNA from 1 species